rnacentral:rRNA from 1 species
UACGUAGGGUGCAAGCGUUUAAUCGGAAUUACUGGGCGUAAAGCGUGCGCAGGCGGUUUUGUAAGUCUGACGUGAAAUCCCCGGGCUCAACCUGGGAAUUGCGUUGGAGACUGCAAGGCUGGAGUCUGGCAGAGGGGGGUAGAAUUCCACGUGUAGCAGUGAAAUGCGUAGAGAUGUGGAGGAACACCGAUGGCGAAGGCAGCCCCCUGGGUCAAGACUGACGCUCAUGCACGAAAGCGUGGGG